UGCUCCGUGCAGACUUGUUCGCACCACUGGGGAGCUCACACCCUGAUGGGAAACUUGCAGUCUGCUCAAGGUACUUGAAUAUAGAAUUGUGCCCAGAAAGCGGAGAAGAUGAGUUUUUGACCCAACCUGAGGUUCCGGCAAUGGGAGAUCGGACUCUAUUUAGGGCGUCUACAGAGACAGGAUAAGAGAAAAUCAUGAAGAUACUAUUCUAAGUACGUUCAUACUGGGCCCUGAGGCAACCAGGGUGGUUAGGAUUUAGAAUUAUGUUUUGAGGAUCUAGAGUGGCCUUCAACAGAGUUAACUAGGACUGUGACUUGGUCAGAUUUUAAGUUUUUAAAGAUGGCUCUGAGGACUGGGGGAAGGGAAGAGGACAAGUUCAUGACUUCACUCUAAUUUAUUUCUGCAAACUAUUUUUGAGCCCUUUUUGUGUAAAAAAGCCUGCCCAAAGUGUAGAGGCUUGCAGAGACAAAAAUACGUUGUCUCUAUAUGAUUUAAAACCUAAUGAGGGUUGGGCAAGAGAACAGCAAACUAACACUGUAGAAUUAAAUUGAUCCUGCAAGGAAAACUCAAUAGCUGUGGGAACUCUGAAAGAAAUAAUUAAUUCUGAGGGUAAGGUCGGGUAAGGAGAUGGGGGAGAUUUCACAGAGUAGGAAGCAUUCAAACCAACUCUGAAGAAGUAAAAUUUUGUCUGUUAGUGUUGGGAGCAGAAGGCGGGAGGUUGGGUAGUGGUGAGGGAAGCCGGUAGAACAGGAUCUGUGUGCCAGACACUGAGGAAUCAGCAGGCAAGGGCUCCUGUGUGGGGGGAGGGGUUAGAAGAACAAACAAUAAACAAAUGGCCAAAAAAAAGGAUUUCUAAACAAGAAAUAAUUAGAAAGUGACAAGUGCUAUACAUUGAAAUUAAAAUGGAACAAUGCUUUGCAACCUCCAGUCCAAUUGAAUCUAUUUUCAAUCUCAGAUCUUGCUUUUUCAGUUUUGUACUUCUUCCCCCACCCUCAUGCUGUCCUCUAAUUGAAGGCUACUUUUUUGAAGAUGGUACUUCCUCCAGGACUUUACAGACCUUCCCCCGUCAAGCCUAAGGUAGAGACUGCUUCUGAUCCAUAGGAACCUACACUUUUCCGCUGACAAUGAGUUGGUCUCUAUAAAAAACUAACAAGAAGUUCCUGAAACUGAAUUCCAAAAUUGCAGCCAUGGAUUCUGAAUAAUCCAGCUCAGUUUAGAUGCUUGUUCUUGGUCUAAUCAUCUGAGCCCAGGGAAGUGGCUCCCAGAGACUUCCCAGGAUGAAUGAAGAUUUUGGGGACAGGGAAUGUGAGCCAAAACUAACUGUAUAGUAUAUGAGUAAUGAGUCUCGAAUACACAAUUUAAUUUUCUAUUUUAAUAAUUUGUAAAUAUUCAGUUUAGUGGGUUAAGACACACACAUUGUUGUGCAAUCAUCACUACCAUUCAUCUCCAGAACUUUUUCAUCUUCCCCAAACUAAAACUCUGUUCUCACUGUCGAAUCUCAGAGGGAAGGCAUGGGUGAGUGGGUUGGUGGAAGAGAUUAAGCAAACAAUAGGGUGGUGAGGCCUGGGGUGCAGAGCGGGUGCAGGCUAGAAGGGGUCAAUGGGGAAAAAGGAGGACAUAUAUAAUAAUUCGACAAUAAAGACUUUAAAAAAAAAAGACUCUGUUCCCCUCAAACACUAACUCCCCAUUCUCACCCUCAUCCUUGCCCACUGCCCCAGGAAACCAUUCUAACUUUCUGUCUCUACAAAUUUAAUUACUCUAUAUAUCUCAUAUAAGUGUAAUCAUACAGUAUUUGUCCCUUUGUGACUGGCUUAUUUCACUUAGCAUAAUGACCUCAAGCUUCAUCUGUGAUGUAGCAUGUGUAGAAUUUCCUUUUUUAAGGUUAAAUAAUAUUCCAGUCUAUGUUUAUGUCACAAUUUUUUUAUCUGUUCAUGCGUGGAACAUUUGGGUUGCUUCCAGCUCUUGGCUAUUGUGAAUUGUGCUGCUAUGAACGUUGUCAUAGCAUUUUUAAAAUCACAGCAGCUCUUUGUCAUGCAAACUCUCAACCAAUGGCCCUAAAAGUCACUGCCUAUCCUGUGGGGUUCAGCAGAAAAUCAAUUCCUGGGAAGAAGGAAUAACGCAGAGUAAAGUGUGCAACCUGGGAGAAGGCAGCUUGGGGGAGGGCAGCCUGGGGAAGGGCAGCCUGGAGGAGGGCAGCAUGGAGGAGGUUCUGGGAGCUGUUUCUGAGAACAAAGACUUCCCUGCUUUUGGACAGGGGAGGGAGCACUAGAUGCAGACACAGAGCAAAGAUUUCUCUCAUUCCAAAAUAACUUUUAACCUCUACACUGUUUAACAGUGGAACAAUCUACCUUCAUGAAAUAAGUAUUUCAGUGAAAAUACACAGACAGGAGCUAGUUGAUUAUAGAAAAUUUUCCAGAGUUGUGAGGGGAGUUGAAGGAGAGCUAUUCCUGGGCUCUAAGACUGCUUUUACCCCAACACCGUCUCUCUAUUCUAUUUGAUUUAUUGUAAUGCACACCCCAUGGCAUCCAGCCCCUUUUCCAGUCCUGGGGCCUGGUUUCCUGAGAGCCUGAAGGAAGGUUCACCACAUCAAUGGUCCUGCAGCUUCAUAAUUUCUCACAUAUUCCCCAUGAAAUUGGUGAAGGAAAUAUUUGGCAAAGGUCUUCAGAAAAGCCUUAUCAUCAUGGUCAAAGCAGUAAGACCUGGACAAGUAGAUAUAGGAGCUGUAGGUUGAUCUGUGAGUCUUGGUGGCAGUUCUGGUGCACCUGCAAGGAGGUCACGAUCCUUACACCCGGGCGCUUGUGGCAUCCAAGGGUGCUGUGAGGAGGUGGUGAGGCUGGAUUGUGAUGGCUGUCUGGGAUGGGUUGAGCUCCGGUUGGUCCAAGCACUGUUGAAGCAGGAAACGGCAUGACUUCACGAAGACUGUCUUUGUCUUUCUAAUGCUUGAAGUAUCAGUAGAAAAGACAAAAAUUACCAAAGCUAUAAUUUCCAAAGUAAAUCAGUGUAAACUUCGUUUGAUAUUUGUGUCAUCUCCUCCAGAAGAAGUUGGAAUCUGAUGAGCUGUUGAAAGCUCUUAGAGAACCACACGCCUCAGAAGGGAAAUACUCUCUGAGAUAACAGUGACAGGAGCCACAGCAGGUCUCCAGGUACACUGGGGCCUGACCUCAUCUGUACAUUACACUAGGAAAAUACCCUGGUAAAUCCAGAUCAAAUUAGCAAAUAGUAGACUCUUAUCCCAAUUUGUGCUAUUUAUUAAAUUUCUGUUUUCAGUUUUUCUCAUUUCUCUUUUCCUUUUUCAUCAAAACUUAUGAAAACAAUGUCUGAAGGUGGUGUGGUGAAUUAGACAAAGCUUACACUUUGGGGUUGGAAAAUAAGCCGGUGCAACCUCCCUUGGAAGGCAAUUCAGACAGUUAUCAAAAUGUGAAGUGCACCUACCCUUUGAUCAGCAACUCUGUAAGGAGAUGCAUUCUCACACCAAUAAGGAACAUGUACAGCAAGUCAUUACAGCAAAAGAUCAAAAAUGCCCUAACCAUGCUGGCCAGUGCUCAGUGGUUAGACCGUUAGCCCACGGACUGAGGGUCUCUGGUUUGGUUCCAGUCAAAGGCACGCAGGCUGGAUCCCCAGCCCCAGUCAGGGCAUGUGUGAGAGGCAACCAAUCUAUAUGUCUCUCUCACAUUGAUGUUCCUCUCUCUCUCUGUCUUUCCUCCUCCUUUCCACACUUUCUAAAAAUCAAUGGGAAAAAUAUCCUCCGGUGAGGAUUAACACACAAAAAAGUCCAUCAGAAGGUACUAUUUACCAGCGUAUGGCCCAUCCAAAAAAUGCUCAGUGUGGAAGCAGGGCUGAAAAGCCCUGCCACUGCUGGGGGAAUGAGAGAGAUCUUUAUGUACAGACUUACAAAACAUACACUGUCGCAUGACAAAAGCAAGGUGUGAAUAUUUGAGCUAAAAAAAAAAAAAAAGGUACCUAUAGGUAGAAAUACAGCAUACACUGUGUUAGGCAUCUUCUAAGGUGGCUCCCAAUGAUCUCUCAGCCCUGGUAACCAUGCCCUAUGUAAUCCCUUCUUGAGUGUGUGCUCAAUCUAGUGAUGUGCCUUCUCAUUAAAAAAUUGCAUCAAAGCCCUAACCGGUUUGGCUCAGUGGAUAGAGCGUCGGCCUGCGGACUGAAGGGUCCCAGGUUCGAUUCUGGUCAAGGGCUUGUACCUUGGUUGCAGGCACAUCCCCAGUAGGGGAUGUGCAGGAGGCAGCUGAUCGGUGUUUCUCUCUCAUCGAUGUUUCUAACUCUCUAUCCCUCUCCCUCCUCUCUGUAAAAAAUCAAUAAAAAAUAUAUUUUAAAAAAUUGCAGCAAAGGUGAGAUGUCACUUCUGAGAUCUGGUUAUAAAAAACAUUGGCUUCUUUUCUUCUCUUACUUUUCUAACUCUUCUCGCCUGUUUAUUCUGAUGACAUCAGUUACCAUGCUGUGAGGUGCCCAGUGGAGAGGCCCAUGUGGCAAGAAACUGAAGGAGGCCUCAGGCCAAAAGCCAGUUAAAGAAAUGAGGCCCUCAGCCCAACAGCCUGUGAGAAACUAAAUCUUCCAAUACCACUUAAGUGCACCUGAAAGCAGAUCCUCCUAAGUGGAGUUGUAAGGUGACUGCAGCCCCAGCCGACAACUGACCAUGACCUAUGAGAGAUCCUGAGCCAGAGGGCUCAAUUAAGCCGCUGGAUUUCUGACCACAGAAAAUGUGUGACAAUAAAUAUUUGUUGUUUUGCCCUAAACAGUUUGGCUCAGUGGAUAGAGCGUCGGCCUGUGGAUUGAAAAGUCCCAGGUUCGAUUCCUGUCAAGGGCAUGUACCUUGGUUGCGGGCACAUCCCCAGUGGGAGGUGUGCAGGAGGCAGCUGAUUGAUGUUUCUCUCUCAUCGAUGUUUCUAACUCUCUCUCCCUCUCCCUUCUUCUCUGUAAAAAAUCAAUAAAAUAUAUUUAAAUAAAUAAAUAAAUAAAUAUUUGUUGUUUUAAACCACUAAGUUUUGGGGCAAUUUGUUGCACAGCAGUAGGUAACUAAUAUAAGAUUUAUGUUUGUUUAUGCAAUAUGAAACUGACGACUGUGCUUGCCACUGGGGAAGGAAAUUUAAAAUUCUGGGGAUCAGAGGUGGGAGGAAACUUACUUUUUACUGUAUACCCUUUAGUCUUUUUGAAUAUAAUGUUUAUUCAACAAACUACAUUUUUAAAUCCUCUCCAAUAAACAAUAAUUUCAAAGGCCUAUUUCUAACAUGCACAUAUUAAUUUUUUUCUAUAUCUACAUACAUUGGUUAAUUUCUCACAAAGAAGUUUUUGCAAACUUUCUUUAACUUGGGUACAUAUCACAUCACUUCACAUAAAAAAAGAGACUCUCUUUUCUUUCACCUUUUUGGGAAAGCAAGAAAAAUGCCUUCUUUACAGCCUCAUCAUCUGCCUAUCCUGGCCUUACAACCCCGUGCUGCAGCCAUAUCAAUGUUCCAGUCCCCCACUGGAGCCUGUUUCCCAGCUCUGUCCCUUAACUCAAACAUCCUCUCAACUUGAAUGCUUUUCCUCCCAGGUGCCUUCCCUAAUUCUUGUGCAAAAUACAAGACCCAACUCCAGGUUCUUCCUCUGACACAGCCCACUCUUACCCGAACCCCCUUUCAUUCCUGCCCCACAAAUCCACCAAUUCUGUUCCUGGAUAUGCAUCCCAGGUAAAUUGGUCUCUCACUCCUUUGGACUAUGCCUGUACUUUAUACUUAGUUCCAUAUAGGUCUUCACUCACUGUAUUGUCAUUUUUCUGUUUAGACAAUAAGCUCCUUAGACAGAUUUGCCAAUUGGAAAGAAGAAAGAUCUCUAGCAUAGUGUCAUUUGCACAAGGGAACUUGAUACACAACAAAGGUGUCAUCACAAAUCAAUGGAGAAAAGGGAAAAUUGUGCAAUAGAUGAUACACUGACUCACUGUGAAGAAAAAGAAAACCUGACCCCUAUCUAACACCAUGUGCCAAAGCAAGGCCAUGGGAUCAUGACCACUUGGUGGAAAAUGCCCUUUUGAAAAUGCACUUUCCAAACUAUCAGAAUGAAUGAAAGAUCUAAUGGUCUAAGAACUCUAAGGAAGACAGAAGAAAUUGUAAUAAGGUGUCUUUGUGACCUUAGGAGUUGGAAAGCAUUUCUUAAAUAAAACUUUACAAACACGCCCUGGCUGGUUUGGCUCAGUGGAUAGAGCGUCGGCCUGCGGACUGAAAGGUCCCAGGUUCGAUUCUGAUCAAGGGCAUGUACCUUAGUUGCGGGCACAUUCCCAAUAAGGGGUGUGCAGGAGGCAGCUGAUCGAUGUUUCUCUCUCAUUGAUGUUUCUACCCAUCUCCCUUCCUCUCUGUAAAAAAAAACUCAAUAAAAUAUAUUUUAAAAGAAACACUUUACAAACACAAACCAUAAGGCAAAAAUUUGAUACAUUCAAUUACAUAAAAAAUUCAGGAGUUUUAUUCAACAAAGGCCAUCAUGGGCAAAGACCAUAGAUUAGAGGGUAGUAGAAGAUAUUGUAGUACCUAAAAUGGAAAGGUAUUAACAUCUAGAAUAUAUCAAGAAAAUGGCAGCAACUUUAAGAAGAGGAAACCCAAAGUCCACCAAGUAUAUAAAAAGAUACUCAAUUUUGUUUAUAAUCUUAAAGAAAUCCAACUUAAGAUAUCAUUUGCUAGUAUGCGUAUAUACCUACCUGUAAGAUGGGUAAAAAUUAGAAAGCUUGAUACUGCCAAGUGUUGGUGGGAAAGUGAGAUAUAUCAUGCCCUGCUGAUGGGGAGUUGUCACACCUACUGCUGCAUAACAGAACACCCAAAACUUAGUAGCUUAAUACAACAACCAUUUCAUUUAGCUCACAAUUCUGUGUCUUCAAAAUUUGGACUGAGCUCUGCCGGGCAGUCCAGUCUUCUGAUCUCUUGACUCAUCCCACUCUGACCUAAACUUCCAGUCCUAUUGGAAAAAAAUGCCCUCAGAAGAUAAUCUCCCAACUCUCCAGAGGCUUCCAGAUCUCCUGGUUUACCAUGACCAGGCCAAAGGACACCUUGCAAAGGGAGGACCUUGGUCAUCAUACUCUGUGACAGUUUUCGAAAAUUUUGUAUGAAUUUAGAUCAUUUACUAAAAUCAGUCAUUUCUUUCAUUAACCAAUCCCAAUGGCUAUUUACUUUAUGAUGCAUCCUUUCUUUCUUUUAUAAGCACAUUAAAGUCAGUUUGGUUUUCCACUUCCAAUUUAAUUAAGUUAUCCACACAACUAAAUCUAGACUUUGCAGAGUCAAAUUUAAUCUUUGUAUUUGGCUUCAGAAAGGUGGGUGGUAAAGCAAAUUAAGUACAUUUUUUAUCAUUUUCUCCUUUAUUUACUCUUUGUUUCUGACUUAAGAAACAUACCUAUUGUUAUGGGCAGAAUGUUUGUGUCCCCACAAAAUUUCUACUUUGAAAUGCUAACCCUCAAUGCAUGGUAUUAGGAUGUGGGGCCUUGGGGGCAGAGCCCUUCUGAAUGUGAUUAGUGCCCUUAUAAAAGAGACCCAGAAAUCUCCCUCAUCCCUUCCACCAUGCAGGACACAGCAGGGAGGCAGCCAUUGAUGAACUAGAAAGUGGGUCUUCACCAGACCCCAAAUCUGCUAGACUUGGUCUUGGACUUCCAGACCUGUGAGAAAUAAAUGUUUGUUGUUUAAGCCACCCAGCCCACAAUGUUUUUGUUAUAGCAGCCCUAAUGGACUACGGUGUCUGCCCUAUUUAAAUAGAGUUUUCACUCAGAUUUUAAAAACACAGAAGUCUUUGAUUUUUGAGAAAAUGAGGGACUAGUUGAGAAGAAUAGCUUGAGAGUUUUAUUUUAUAAACAGAAGGUGUUUUGUUUUCCCCCCAAUUCUGUAUAAUUUGAAUGUAUAUUUCAAAAGAAUGUCAAAUAAUAGAACUUUGAUUUUUCAAUGUUUUUAAAAAACUUUCAUUAACUUAAUGGUUUAAGAAUGAUAAAAGGGACAAAAUAGAGGGAAAAAUAAAAAUCCUUAAAACUUGAAUUUUAGUAAAUCCAGAUACUGUACUUGGCAAUCAAAUAAAUACAAAAAAAUUUCUCUUCAAAAAAUAAGUGGAAAUACUAUAAUUCUGAGAGUUGCAGGACCAGGGAAGGUAUAUAAUUCAGAGUGUUGGCAAAAGAAGCGCUAUAGAGUUGUGAUAAGAAGAAACACCCUACUUAAAUAGAAGACAUUAAAUGCUUUAUUUAGUCUUAUUGGAUUGACAAUAUAUGUAAAUCAUUUAAUUUGAAAGAUACAAAAUAGUGCACAAUGAAAGGUAAAGGCUCCUUUCUCCCAUAAUAUACUUCUCCUCCUUGGAAGCCACCAGUACUACU